rnacentral:rRNA from 1 species
CUUCAGGCGCUUUGUCGUAGUACGGCGAGUGAAGCGGCAAGAGCUCAAAUUUGAAAGCUGGCCCCCUCGGGUCCGCAUUGUAAUUUGCAGAGGAUGCUUCGGGAACGGCCCCCAUCUAAGUGCCCUGGAACGGGCCGUCAUAGAGGGUGAGAAUCCCGUCUGGGAUGGGGUGGCCGCGCCCGUGUGAAGCUCCUUCGACGAGUCGAGUUGUUUGGGAAUGCAGCUCUAAUUGGGUGGUAAAUUUCAUCUAAAGCUAAAUAUUGGCCGGAGACCGAUAGCGCACAAGUAGAGUGAUCGAAAGAUGAAAAGCACUUUGAAAAGAGAGUUAAACAGCACGUGAAAUUGUUGAAAGGGAAGCGCUUGCGACCAGACUCGCCCGCGGGGGUUCAGCCGGCACUCGUGCCGGUGUACUUCCCCGCGGGCGGGCCAGCGUCGGUUUGGGCGGCCGGUCAAAGGCCUCUGGAAGGUAACGCCUCUCGGGGCGUCUUAUAGCCAGGGGUGCCAUGCGGCCUGCCCGGACCGAGGAACGCGCUUCGGCUCGGACGCUGGCAUAAUGGUCGUAAGCGACCCGUCUUGAAAACCGGACCAAAA